rnacentral:lncRNA from 1 species
ACCUAGCAACAUUUUUCAGCAGCAAGCUAUGCCAUAACAAAAUACAAAAUGAAUGUUAAGAAAAAUUUCUGUAACAACUUCAUGCGCAUUUUAAGUUAUUAAUUCCAGUCACACCAGUAUUCACAGUUCACGCGAGUCACUUUUGGUUCUUUCCUAGGUUUGGAUUUUCCAAACAAUAAGGUGAUCAUAAAAAUAUAUUCUACAUUAUUCAAGCAUAACAAGACAUGAAAAAAAGUGUGUUUCACAAACAGAAGAUGUUCCAUAAGCAAAGCAUAUUACAGUAUCAAAAAGUUCCAUAAGCAUAAUAAAUACUAGUUGGGAAACAAUAAAGAAAAGGUUCUAUACAAUUAAUCUAAAGUAUAUUCCAGAUAAUUAGCAAAAUCAAAGAAUUCCCAUUUUUUCCCCAUGACUUUGAUCCAAUUCUCUAAUUUGUCGACCUCUAUCAUUUUCAUUCAUAUUUUUCUGUAACUAUCACCUUCACAAAGUAUGCUAACAGUUGCGCUGUAUAACGGUUCUUCCCAUCCAAGUCCCUCUAAUUUGUCCAUACAUUCCUCAAUGUCAGGCCAGCUAUUUUUUCUAAUCAAUAUCUCAAAUGCAAUGCUCAUCUUCUCAUCAAUUUCCAAUUGAGACCAUAAGAAUUUUCUCUUAAUUCCUAAACUUUUCCUUUCAACUGGAACUGAAGAUUGAGACAUAGAAUUAUUAGAAGCUCCAUCAUUUUUGUCACCAAGUAAAUCUUCGGCAUCAUCAGGUGUAUCUAUAUCUUAUUCAGUAGAUACGUAAGAGAUAUUAGGCCUUGGAAUUGUACCGCUUGGACUCUCACCAUGAACUUCUGUUCCGCUAACAACAACAAACAACUACUACCCAGUAUACUCCCACCAGGUGGGGUCUGGGGAGGGUAAUAUGUAGACGAGCNNN